AUUGAACGCUGGCGGCAUGCCUUACACAUGCAAGUCGAACGGCAGCACGGGUGCUUGCACCUGGUGGCGAGUGGCGAACGGGUGAGUAACAUAGCGGAACGUACCUUAUUGUGGGGGAUAACGCAGCGAAAGCUGUGCUAAUACCGCAUAAUCCCUAAGGGGGAAAGCGGGGGACCGUAAGGCCUCGCGCAAUUAGAGCGGCCGAUACCUGAUUAGCCAGUUGGUGAGGUAAAGGCUCACCAAGGCAACGAUCAGUAGCUGGUCUGAGAGGACGAUCAGCCACACUGGGACUGAGACACGGCCCAGACUCCUACGGGAGGCAGCAGUGGGGAAUUUUGGACAAUGGGGGCAACCCUGAUCCAGCAAUGCCGCGUGAGUGAAGAAGGCCUUCGGGUUGUAAAGCUCUUUUGUCAGGGAAGAAACAGCAGCUCUAACACAGUAUGCGAAUGACGGUACCUGAAGAAUAAGCCACGGCUAACUACGUGCCAGCCGCCGCUGUAA
rnacentral:rRNA from 1 species